UAUCCUGUAUGUGUCAUAAUUCACUGGCCUUUGAGGUCAUGGUUUUGUUUAUGCCAAAUUACAAUUGACAAAGUACUCAACUACUGUUGCUGAAAGAAUUCUUGUAUUUUACCAUAUCCAUCUCCCCAGUCAUCCCUGGGCUGUCUAACCAAUGGCUCCAUGUCUUAAAAAUCCAUCCCAGCUUUCAUUUGUCUACAUAAUUGUUUUCUGAGGCACCAGUCUUACAAGGCUCAAGUGUUUUCCUUAUUUUCUUUUGUCGUGCUGCAAGCUAAACAUGGAAUCAGCCCUGUCCCUUGGAUAGCCCAGUAGUCAGCUGCCUAUGAUAUUUAAUGAGAAGAUACAACAGGAAUAUUGGAAUGGAAGUACAACAAUGAAAAUGACUCAAAAACUCUACCUUUGAUUGGGUUCCUUGGGAACAGAUUCUAAGACUGAGAAUUGGGUGAAGAAAAUGAAUGGAGAAGAGUUCUUCUGAGAUAAACAGUUCUGGAUGCAAGAAGUUGAAGAACAAGUGUCAGGACAAUCAUCUUCUGUGGAAUAUUAGUGGACAUGACAUAAUCAAAGUCGUUUAUGCAUGUGCAUCUUUGGGCUAGCUUACUGCACUUCACUGAUGCUCAACAUAGUGCCCAGGACAUCUGCAGCUCCAAGAGAAUGUGGAGAGGUACAAACAAGACCAGCAGGCGCCCAAGGCUGGGAUCCAAUUGCAGUUGAAACACAAAUACAUGAGCACUAAAAAUGAAAGUUGUUUUGGAAAACAACUGAGUGAAGAUGUUGUUUAUAACAGGAUUAUUGAGUGAUAGUGGACGAAUCUACACAGUAUGACCAAAUAGUUGUUUUUCAUGGUUGCAUGUUCAUGUUUAAUGUAGAUAAUAUUCUCCUUUAUUUGCUAAAAACAUUUAUUUUCUUCAUUUUAUAUCAUUGUGUGAUCUGUUAUUCAAAACCCUAAGGAUACCUUCCACUGACUUGCCGGAGAGGGGCUGCGCUUUUCCAAGAGCUACUUCCCUUGUUUGCACUUUCUCAGCUCCCUGGGCAGUGGGAGGAGGCAUUGCCCAGAGACACCCUGUAGGCUGCACCUACUGGGAAUCACUCCCAUCACCUUCCAAACUGGAUCCUGCCCUGAUGUUAUACUCCUGCCUCUGAUUAAGGAUGGGCUGUACAGGAAUUUCUGAAAGCAAGAAGUGCAAGCAGGUCGGUGCUGGUAUGGUUAAAGAAAAAUCGAAAAGGAAAUUUAAAACAUUCUCUAGAGUCCUAUUACCCUAGAGAAUUUUCCUUUCUAAGCUGCCCACACAUGCUAGGACACAGCUGUGUUUGAUAUUUUUCUCAGGUAAAACACCUCUCCUUAUUCAUUUUCUCUCUG